rnacentral:rRNA from 1 species
GAUGAACGCUGGCGGCGUGCCUAAUACAUGCAAGUCGAGCGAACAGACGAGGAGCUUGCUCCUCUGACGUUAGCGGCGGACGGGUGAGUAACACGUGGAUAACCUACCUAUAAGACUGGGAUAACUUCGGGAAACCGGAGCUAAUACCGGAUAAUAUAUUGAACCGCAUGGUUCAAUAGUGAAAGACGGUUUUGCUGUCACUUAUAGAUGGAUCCGCUCCGCAUUAGCUAGUUGGUAAGGUAACGGCUUACCAAGGCAACGAUGCGUAGCCGACCUGAGAGGGUGAUCGGCCACACUGGAACUGAGACACGGUCCAGACUCCUACGGGAGGCAGCAGUAGGGAACCUUCCGCAAUGGGCGAAAGCCUGACGGAGCAACGCCGCGUGAGUGAUGAAGGUAUUCGGAUCGUAAAACUCUGUUAUUAGGGAAGAACAAAUGUGUAAGUAACUAUGCACGUCUUGACGGUACCUAAUCAGAAAGCCACGGCUAACUACGUG